AUAUGUAAAUUCAAAGAAUUGAAUUUAAAAGAAAAAAACACACCAGACUAAAUUGAGGGGGAAAUGGCUCAGGUCAGAUGGCCACCAUGGGCCACCGUGUCGGAGGUCGCCUCCGGCGGCAGUGUCAUGCCGAAAUUGAAAUUAAAACCACUAAUAGAUUUGUGCUAUCAUGCCCUAUCCAAAGCCAUCAUCAAUUUCACAUAAUUCGUACCCUAAGACCAUAACCGAAUCAAAAUGCCUUAAGAACCCUAAAUGUUUGGGGAUAAAUUAAACACUCAUCCUGAGUAGUUAGAGCCCAUGAGAUUGGGGCUUUGAUUCCUCCCUCAACACUCUACAUCAUGGUAUCAGGAAAGUUAUGAAAAACGAAGGGUUCAGAAGUCACCUUGCCGUAGAAGAUGGACUGCAACGAAGCUCAGGUUUGAAUUUGCAGCAGGUAUGCCUCUGAUUUGCUUGGCAAGGUUGCAUCUGGUUUUGCUUGCAUUUGUUGCAGGAUUGAUGGUUCACACAUGAAUAUGAAGCUUAAUUUGAAGGCAUUAUGUGAAUGUCACAAAAAUCAAAACAUGAAUAGCUCAUGGAUGGAUCACAGAAGCAUGGGAAAAUAGGUUAAGGUUAGGAUAGUCAAAGUGGGGUUGGUUGACUUUGGUCAACAGGUUGACCAAAAAGUCAAUGGCUGACCAAAAGUCAACUUGAGUAGAAAAGUCACAUUUUAUAACCUUUUCUAUGUAUGGACAUUUGAUAAUUUGUAUAAUAGAUGUAAUUGAUAUUUGGUAUGAAUGAAUGGAUUUGAA